CAGCACCUCAAGUGGUCAGGAUGAUUAUUAGGCCUAAAGCAUCCGUAGCCGGCUCUGUAAGUUUUCGGUUAAAUCUGUACGCUCAACGUACAGGCUGCCGGGAAUACUGCAGAGCUAGGGAGUGGGAGAGGUAGACGGUACUCGGUAGGAAGGGGUAAAAUCCUUUGAUCUAUUGAUGACCACCUGUGGCGAAGGCGGUCUACCAGAACACGUCCGACGGUGAGGGAUGAAAGCUGGGGGAGCAAACCGGAUUAGAUACCCGAGUAGUCC
rnacentral:rRNA from 1 species